GCAAGCGCAGCGUGCAGCCGCGGUUCCCGCCCGCGCCUCUCCCACCACACCUACCUGCAAGCUGAGGGAGCCGGCUCCGGCCCUGGCCAGGCUAGAAAGGGGCUCCCACAGUGCAGGGGCGGGCUGAAGGGCUCCUCAAGUGCCGCCAAAGUGGGAGCCCAGGCAGAGGAGGUGCCCAGAGCGAGCGAGGGCUGCGAGGACUGCCAGCAGCUGUCACCUCUCGUUACCAUCACUCCUAGUGACCAUUUUGGUAAUCCACCUUGCCUCAUCAAACCAGAAAACAAUUCAAACCUGGCCUCCUUCCAACUGGAAGCCACAUUUUAAGAACUUAUUGUGAAGAACUGGAAAGCCUCCAAUAGACAGAAGCUAAAAGCAGAAAUUAUAAAAGCUGUUACACCUACUCAGCUCUAUCACAUGUUGGAAAAACUGAACCAGAGAAACAAUUACAUACACUCUGUCUUCUGGAAAAGCUGAAUUGGGUUUUGGUCUGAAUCAAUAGCAUAAACCCUACUUGAUGGUGAUGGAUUAGCUUCUUGAUGGGCUGCUGGAUUUGGUUUGUAAGUAUUUUGUUGAGAAUUUUUGCAUAAAUGUUCGUCAAGGAAAUUGAGCUGGUGCAAAGGAACUGGGCUUAGGCAUGCCAAACACAUCCCAUUUAGGUCUUUGAAUCUGUAACAGUCUCCACAAAGAAGCAGAAAUGGCAAGAACAAGAUCCGAUUCCCAAGAAUAAGUCUAUGAUGCUUUCCUUCAGUUUCAACUAAGAUUGAUUGAAAUUGGAUACAAACAGAAAAAAAGAGAGAGAGAGAGAGAGUAAAGAUAAUGGGUGACCCAUUAUACAGGCUGCCUUUCCAGCUCUCCAAUCAUACUUCCAAGAAAACUGCUCACUCUCAGAACCAAGGUUCAAGUUGUACAUUGGGAUUUGGGUAGAGGCAUCCCUCUGAGACUGCAGGCUUGUGUGCAUCUGCUUCAGAUAGUGCAUGGCUGUUCAAGUUCUGAAUAUUGUAUCAUUUCACAGUCCAAUCCUGCUGAGGUCACAUAAAACUUGCCUUCAUUACAUAUAUGCUUUGUUACCACAACAGAUUCACACAGAGCCUUUUCAUCCCUUGGUCCCAGUCAAAACUAUAGUGAAUUUCAGGAAUAGUAAAGAAUAGAAGUCACCAUAGAAUGAGUACCAACCCUAGGACGAUAAAGUCUUUAUUUCCCUGCAGAAGAUUUAAAAAAGACACUAAAGAAGACUCUCAAGACUUAACCACAAUUCUUACAAAUCUACACCUUACUGAAGGAGAAGGAUAAAAUAUAGCAUCAGCAUUUUAGUAAGAAUAUGCAUCCCAGCCAAAGGCUGUCUUACAGCAAGGGGUCCAGAGUGGUCUGAUGCAGGCUCCAAUUGUCCUCCUUUCUGCGAGGCCAUACUGGAUGCACUUUCUCACUUGCAUCAGUGACAUCCAACAUGUGCAUGGGACACCUAGAAAACAGGGGCUCCAAAUAAAGUCUUGGUUGGGUCUUCUCAUAUUCUACUGAUCCAAAGGGUCAUCACUGUUAUGUGACUUGCCAUAAUGGUGGAGUCCACUGGCAUCACACCUGAACAGGGUAUAAACUGUCAAUCUUGCUGUUACUAAUAGCCUAUACUGACAAGCUGGAACAAACUGUCCUGAAAGUUGUCUGAUAAGUAUGGUUAUAAAAUUAUACUAUUAAUUAUGUUUUUUUCAUCCCAAGGCCAAGGCUCAGCAUUAUUAAGUUAUAUCUCUUACAAAGCAGCUUAGGACAAUCCCAAAAUAGAAGUAGCACUCAUAGCACAGGAUCCAAAUAGGUUUCACAAACUGCUAAGCAUAUGAACUUAGAAGGACACUUAUAGUAUUAAUAGAGCAAUUCAAAAUACUGGGGUUUAAGGAUGAGCAUACUUCUUGGCAAGGGACAUAUCUGCAUUGUCUGAAGUUAUUUCCAAACUGCAUCCCACCCCCCCCG
rnacentral:lncRNA from 1 species